AUGGACCCCUCCGCGCUGCGCCCCUUCCGCGCCCACUUCCCCCGCCUCGCCGCCCAGAGCACCGUCUCCAGCUACGUCGCCUCUGUCGACGCCGCGCUGCAGGAGGUCACCCGCCGCAUCGAGGCCGGCCUCUCCUGCUCCUGCUCCCCGCCCGCCGUCGCCAGGAAGCAGCAGAUUCACAACUCAGGGAUCAGGGAAGGGGCCUACGGCGCCGUGGUGGACGAGGUGUACAUGAGGGACACGUUCCGUGCCAAGCCGUUCGUCGACUACAUUUCGGCGCUGGGGAGGAGCCCGCUGGCCGGCGCCGAUCGUCUCGACCUUGCCACCGCCAUGGCGCAGCUCAGGUCUUUCAACCGGUUGAGGUGUCCAAUGGAGCUUCCUGAGUUUGUCAUCUUCCAGGGGAUUGAGGAUGUUGCUGCUGCCGUUGCUCCUGAGGCUGAUGCUGAUGCUGAUGCUGAUGCUGAUGCUGAUGUGGCAGCAACACAACAGACAAAGAGGAAGAGGACGGAGGAGAAGGGCGGCGGGGAUGGCAAUGCUCCGGCCAAGGAGAAGAGAUCGAGGCACGGCGAGAGCUCAUCGCGCAAGAAAGAUGCUCCUGCAGAGGAACAAGAAGAGGCCAUUGAUGAUGCUCCGACCAAGGAGGAGAAGAAAUCAAGGAGGCGUGGCGAGAGCUCAUCGCGUGAGAGAGAUGCUGCUGCAAAGGAACCAGAAGUGGCCAUUGAUGUUGAGGACAGCCCUCCUAUGCCCAGGGACAGGAUCAUGGACACCUCCGAAGAUGCACCGGAUAAGGGAGAAGCUCCUGCAAACAAAGAUGCCGCCAUGGUUGAGGACACCCCUCCUAUGCCCAGUACCAAGCAAAGGAAGUCAAAGAGAGGUAGCAAGACUUCAGCUGAUAAAAAGAAGAAAGACACCUCCAAAGACGCGGCAGGUAAGGGCGAGUCUCUGCCAGAGGCAGAGCCUGCCAAAGAAGAUGAUGUGAAUGGGGACAGCUCUAUGCCGAGUGUGGAGGCGACAGAUGAUACAUUGAGCAAGCAAAGGAAGUCGAAGAGAGUUAGCAGGAGUGCAGCAGAGAGCAAGAAGAAAGACACCUCCAAAGACGCAGCCGAUAAGGGCGAGCCUCUACCAGAGGCAGAGCCUGCAAAAGAAGAUGAUAUGGAUGAGGACAGCUCUAUGCCCAGCAGCGGGGCGGCAGAUGAUACAUUGAGCAAGGGAAAGAAGUCAAAAAGAGCUACUAGGAGUUCAGGAAAGACAAAGAAGAACGACACCUCCAAGGACGCAGAUAAGACAGAGUCUGUAACUGAGCCUGCAAAGGAAGUGGCCGAGAACGAGGACAGCUCUAUGCCCAGUGCAGAGGCGACAGAUGACACAGUGAGCAAGGGAAGAAAGUCGAAGAAAAGUAAGGGUUCAGCAAAGACCAAGAAGAAAGAUGCAGAUAAGAAUGAGUCUCUACCAGAGCCUGCAAAGGAAGUUGCCGAGGAUGAGGACAGCUCUAUGCCCAGUGCAGAGGCGAUAGAUGGUGCAUUGAGCAAGGAAACGAAUUCCAAGAGCAGUACAAGGUCGGCAAAGAAGAAGAAGAAAGACGCAGGUAAAAAAGAGUCUCUACCAGAUCCUGCAAAGGAAGGUGCUGAGAAUGAGGACAGCUCUAUGCCCAGUGGAGGGGCGACAGAUGGUGCGUUGAGCAAGGAAACAAAUUCCAAGAUCAGUACGAGGUCGGCAAAGAAGAAGAAGAAAGACGCAGAUAAGAAAGAGUCUCUGCCAGGGCCUGCAAAGGAAAAGGCCACUGGUACUGACAGUUCAAUGCUGAGUAGAGUGGUGGCAGAUGAUACACCGAGCAAGAAAAGGAAGUCCAGUAAGAAGAGUUCAGCCAGUAACAGGAUCAUAGACACCUCCAUGGAUGCUGUGGAUGGCAUGUUGAGUGAGAGAAAAUCAGGGCGUAGGCUAAGGUCCAGCCACAAGAUUGUAGAGGCUUUGGAGGUUAUGAAAUGGCCGAGGAAGAAGGAUGCUGGUGAAACCACAAAGGUAAAAGAUAAAGAUGCUGCUUUGCCCAAGGAGAACAAUCUAGGGCAUAGAGCGGGCUCUGCACGCCACAAGGAUAAAACCACAAUCACAAAGGAUGGGAAUGGACUUACAGUUUCUCCUCUCAAGAAAAGGUUGCACCUUGAUGUACACUCAGCAACAGAGAAUGCGCCCUUCGCAGUCUCAGAGCUUGGCAGGAAGAAGAAGACGCUUAUUGAACUUCUGGCAGAGACAGCUACCCCUAACCCUUCAGCAGGUGGUAAGAGCAAGGCUCGAGCGGAGCGUCCCUUGCCUUCUUCAGUCCUGAAACCUGAGGCUACACCGAACACCAGAGGGAAGCGUUCUUUGCCUGCUUCUACUGAGACACCUGAGGAUCCAGGCCGUGAUAAGGAUACAAUUAAGACCAGAGAGAAGCGUUCUGUGGCCGCAUCGACCGAGAAACCUGAGCGUGAUACGAGAAGUACAGUGAAGGCUAGAAGAAAAAGUUCUUUGCCUUCUUCAGCCGAGGAACCUGAGGACCCAGACCGUGAUAAAAAUGAUGCAAUGAAGACUAGAGGGAAGCGUUCUUUGCCUGCAUCAGCUGAGAAACCUCAGGAUCCUGACCGCGGCACAAAGGGUACAGCGAAGACUAGGGGUAAACGCUCUCUGCCUGAAUCAAUUGAGGAUCCUGACCGUGUUACAAAGGGUUCAUCAAAGACUAAGGGGAAAGGUUCUCUGCCUGAAUCAACUGAGGAACCAGAGGGUCCUGAUGACCGUGAUAUGAAGGAUUCAAUGCACACCAGGAAACGAAAGAAGCUCGACACAUUGGGGGAUUUGUCUUCCCAGCCACAGCCUGUUUCUCCCAAGGGUUCCACGAAAGCUCGAGAAGUGAAGCGCAAAGCUGCUGGGCAGAAGUCACAGGCAUCUCCUGUUGUCAAAGCCAAUGGUGGCAUAUCAGGCGAUACGUCUUCCAAGAGGUCCGCAAGGCGCAAAGCUGCUGAACCGAAGCCACAGGAAACCCCUGUUGUCAAAGCUAACGGUGAAGCUUCUCAGACGAGAUCGCGUAGGGCCAUAAACAGUGAAGUGACUGUUCCAGACAAGUCUCCACGCUCUGUUAAGCCGGAUAAGGGCAAGAAAGGUGCCGUGGCAGAAGGCUCUCCGUCUUGUGGUGAAAUGCUGUCACAGCUUUGUGUCGGAGCAAGUGAUGCUGAGAAGAUGGGGAAGAUCGCCCCUACAAGCGCUAGCUUCUUGACUGAUUUCCUGAAGAGCGCUCGUGCCUGUACUUCUGAUGUGGAGGAGGCAGCCAACGCAGACUGCCGUGCUUCUAGUCCCCAUGCUGACGAGGAGAUACCUGAGAAGGCAGCAGCAGACAAAGUUUCUAGUCCCAAUGCUGACGAAGAGAUACCUGAGGAAGCAGCAGCAGACAAAAUUUCUAGUCCUCAUGCUGUCGAGGAGAUACCUGAGAAGGCAACAGACAAUGUUUCUAGUCCUCAUGCUGACAUGGAGGUGCCCGAGGAGGCAGCAGACAAAGUGUCUAGUCCUCAUGCUGACGAUGAGGUGAUACCUGAGGAGGCAGCAGAGAAAGUUUCUAGUCCCAGUGCCGAUGAGGCGAUACCCGAGGAGGCAGCAGAGAAAGUUUCUAGUCCCAAUGCUGAUGAGGUGGUACCCGAGAAGGCAGCAGUUGAAGUUUCCAGUGCCCCUGCUGAUGAGGCGAUACCUGAGAAGGCAGCAGAGAGAGUUUCCAGUCCCAAUGCUGAUGAGGUGAUACCUGAGGAGGCAGCAGACAAAGUUUCUAGUCCCCAUGCUGAUGAGGCGAUACCUGAGGUGGCAGCAGAUGAAGUUUCACUUGCCCCUGCCGACGAGGAGACACUUUUGAAGGUAAAAGAGGAAGUUUCUAGUCCGCAUGCUGAUGAGGUGAUACCUGAGAAGACGGCAGAGAAAGUUUCUAGUCCCCAUGCUGAGGAGGCGAUACCUGAGAAGGCAGCAGAUGAAGCUUCUAGUCCCCCUGCCGACGUGGAGACACCUGAGAAGGAAACAGAGAAAGUUUCUUGCCCCCCUGUCGACGAGGAGAUAGCUGAGAAGCCAGCAGACAAAGUGUCUAGUCCUCAUGCUGAAGCAGAGAUGUCUGAGAAGGCAGCAAAGAGCUCCCCUGCUCCAUCAGAGCCGCCGGUGGUGGCUGAUAAUAUGAAGGACGAUUACUGGUCUGACAUUCUCAUAGACGUGGAGGAACCGCUGUCUAGUCUGGCAAAGAAGAAGGACAAGGGCAAGAUGAGAUCAAGCAAGAAACAGCGGCGUGACGACGAGAUGAAGCAAGAUGAGAGCCAGCAAGACAAGGCAGAGGCAGAGAAUGGGAAGGCGAACGGGGGUGGCGGCCAGGCAAGCGCGGCCGAGGAGGACGCGUCGCUGAUGGGGCUGGUGCUGCACUUCAGCAAGCCAGGCGCGGUGCCCUCGCGUGGCGACCUCAUCGAGAUCUUCAGCCAGUACGGGCCCGUGAGCGAGGCGAAGACGGAGACGGACCAGCACUCCAGCUCGGCCCAGGUGGUGUUCAGGCGGCGCGCGGACGCGGAGGCGGCGUUCGGCGGCGCGGGCAAGAUGGCGGCCCUCAGGCCCAGCCUCGACAGCUUCCGGCUCACCGACUUCCCGUCCGCUGCGGCCGCGUUCCGGGGCGACGACGGGCCGAAGCAGGGGUGA
rnacentral:rRNA from 1 species